CCCCUUGUGGUGUAGUUGGAUAUCACGUUCGGCUGUAAUGGUUAAAGAUUGAAACCGAAAGGUGUACGUACAUUAAUUCGGGAAAUUGUACCUAUACUAACUUGCCUAGCUCCGGCUCGAUUCCGGACGAGGGGA